GCAUAUCAAUAAGCGGAGGAAAAGAAACCAACAGGGAUUGCCUCAGUAACGGCGAGUGAAGCGGCAACAGCUCAAAUUUGAAAUCUGGCUCCUUCGGAGUCCGAGUUGUAAUUUGUAGAAGAUGCUUCGGGUGUGGCUCCGGUCUAAGUUCCUUGGAACAGGACGUCAUAGAGGGUGAGAAUCCCGUAUGUGACUGGACGCCUACGCCCAUGUGAAGCUCUUUCGACGAGUCGAGUUGUUUGGGAAUGCAGCUCUAAAUGGGUGGUAAAUUUCAUCUAAAGCUAAAUAUUGGCCAGAGACCGAUAGCGCACAAGUAGAGUGAUCGAAAGAUGAAAAGCACUUUGGAAAGAGAGUUAAAUAGUACGUGAAAUUGUUGAAAGGGAAGCUCUUGCAACCAGACUUGCGCGUCGUUGAUCAUCUGGUGUUCUCACCAGUGCGCUCAGCGGCGCUCAGGCCAGCAUCAGUUUCGGUGGUUGGAUAAAGGCCCUGGGAAUGUGGCUCCCUUCGGGGAGUGUUAUAGCCCAGGGUGCAAUGCAGCCUACCGGGACUGAGGACCGCGCUUCGGCUAGGAUGCUGGCGUAAUGGUUGUAAGCGACCCGUCUUGAAACACGGACC
rnacentral:rRNA from 2 species